AUUGAACGCUGGCGGCAUGCUUUACACAUGCAAGUCGAACGGUAACAGGCCGCAAGGUGCUGACGAGUGGCGAACGGGUGAGUAAUGCAUCGGAACGUGCCCAGUCGUGGGGGAUAACGCAGCGAAAGCUGCGCUAAUACCGCAUACGAUCUAUGGAUGAAAGCGGGGGACCGUAAGGCCCCGCGCGAUUGGAGCGGCCGAUGUCAGAUUAGGUAGGUGGUGGGGUAAAGGCUCACCAAGCCAACGAUCUGUAGCUGGUCUGAGAGGACGACCAGCCACACUGGGACUGAGACACGGCCCAGACUCCUACGGGAGGCAGCAGUGGGGAAUUUUGGACAAUGGGCGCAAGCCUGAUCCAGCAAUGCCGCGUGCAGGAAGAAGGCCUUCGGGUUGUAAACUGCUUUUGUACGGAACGAAACGGCUCUGGUUAAUACCUGGGGCUAAUGACGGUACCGUAAGAAUAAGCACCGGCUAACUACGUGCCAGCAGCCGCAGUAAGAC
rnacentral:rRNA from 1 species